rnacentral:rRNA from 1 species
GAUGAACGCUGGCGGCGUGCCUAAUACAUGCAAGUCGAGCGAACAGACGAGGAGCUUGCUCCUCUGACGUUAGCGGCGGACGGGUGAGUAACACGUGGAUAACCUACCUAUAAGACUGGGAUAACUUCGGGAAACCGGAGCUAAUACCGGAUAAUAUAUUGAACCGCAUGGUUCAAUAGGGAAAGACGGUUUUGCUGUCACUUAUAGAUGGAUCCGCGCCGCAUUAGCUAGUUGGUAAGGUAACGGCUUACCAAGGCGACGAUGCGUAGCCGACCUGAGAGGGUGAUCGGCCACACUGGAACUGAGACACGGUCCAGACUCCUACGGGAGGCAGCAGUAGGGAAUCUUCCGCAAUGGGCGAAAGCCUGACGGAGCAACGCCGCGUGAGUGAUGAAGGUCUUCGGAUCGUAAAACUCUGUUAUUAGGGAAGAACAAAUGUGUAAGUAACUAUGCACGUCUUGACGGUACCUAAUCAGAAAGCCACGGCUAACUACGUG